rnacentral:rRNA from 1 species
GACGAACGCUGGCGGCGUGCUUAACACAUGCAAGUCGAACGGAAAGGCCCUGCUUUUGUGGGGUGCUCGAGUGGCGAACGGGUGAGUAACACGUGAGUAACCUGCCCUUGACUUUGGGAUAACUUCAGGAAACUGGGGCUAAUACCGGAUAGGAGCUCCUGCUGCAUGGUGGGGUUGGAAAGUUUCGGCGGUUGGGGAUGGACUCGCGGCUUAUCAGCUUGUUGGUGGGGUAGUGGCUUACCAAGGCUUUGACGGGUAGCCGGCCUGAGAGGGUGACCGGCCACAUUGGGACUGAGAUACGGACCAGACUCCUACGGGAGGCAGCAGUGGGGAAUAUUGCACAAUGGGCGGAAGCCUGAUGCAGCAACGCCGCGUGCGAGAUGACGGCCUUCGGGUUGUAAACCGCUUUCGCCUGUGACGAAGCGUGAGUGACGGUAAUGGGUAAAGAAGCACCGGCUAACUACGUG